rnacentral:rRNA from 1 species
CCUACGGGAGGCUGCAGUGAGGAAUAUUGGUCAAUGGGCGCAAGCCUGAACCAGCCACGUCGCGUGAGGGAUGACGGUCCUAUGGAUUGUAAACCUCUUUUGUCGGGGAGCAAGGCCCGCCACGUGUGGCGGGAAGGAGAGUACCCGACGAAAAAGCAUCGGCUAACUCCGUGCCAGCAGCCGCGGUAAUACGGAGGAUGCGAGCGUUAUCCGGAUUUAUGGGGUUUAAAGGGUGCGUAGGCGGAAGGUUAAGUCAGCGGUAAUAGGUCGGUGCGCAACACCGGACUGCCGUUGAAACUGGUCUUCUUGAGUGAGCGAGAGGUAUGCGGAAUGCGUGGUGUAGCGGUGAAAUGCAUAGAUAUCACGCAGAACUCCGAUUGCGAAGGCAGCAUACCGGCGCGCAACUGACGCUGAGGCACGAAAGCGUGGGGAUCGAACAGGAUUAGAUACCCCUGUAGUC